AAAAGCGGCAAAAAGAUUCCAACCACUCUACAGUGUUGGUGUUUCAUUCCAUCGCUAGCAGUCUCCCAAGUGAGCCAGGCUGGUGAGCCAGGCAGAACUCUGGACUGGAGUGAAGAAAUCCUGAGGCAGGAGCUGCUUGAUCUGCAAGCGACGAGGCCACUGUGGCCAGAGAGGGCGAAAACAAGGUCCUCAGGGCUUUGGAGAAAGGAGAAGAAAACCAAAGCAUUUGGAGCAUCAGUGUGGCUGGACCAAGCUUCUCAUAGCCUCCAGGGAAGGCCCACUGCUUGCGGGGAAGUCCCGCUCAGAGACAUGCACUGAGCCAGUGUUAUCAUCACCAUCCUCUCUGUUGAAUCUAUUUGAGCAGACAUAGCUCUAAGAAGAGAAUAAUGUGGAAGAAUAUUUGAAGCAAGCAAAGCAGCAAAUCUUGGAAAAUCAGCCACUGCAACAGUGUUAUCGUCCCCCUUUCAUGAAACGGUCUAGGUAACAAAGAAAGAAGGAGUAGGGGUAAGAAAAGAGGGAAAAAAGAAGAGACAUCCAUUUUUACUUAGCAUAGGAAUAUACAGUAUUGUGCUUAAAUAUUAUCACUUCAGUAAUCUAUUGGAUCAAGAGCUUCU
ensembl:lncRNA